GUACACUCCUGCGGGAGGCAGCAGUGGGGAAUUUUGGACAAUGGGCGAAAGCCUGAUCCAGCAAUGCCGCGUGUGUGAAGAAGGCCUUCGGGUUGUAAAGCACUUUUGUCCGGAAAGAAAUCCUUGGCUCUAAUACAGUCGGGGGAUGACGGUACCGGAAGAAUAAGCACCGGCUAACUACGUGCCAGCAGCCGCGGUAAUACGUAGGGUGCGAGCGUUAAUCGGAAUUACUGGGCGUAAAGCGUGCGCAGGCGGUUUGCUAAGACCGAUGUGAAAUCCCCGGGCUCAACCUGGGAACUGCAUUGGUGACUGGCAGGCUAGAGUAUGGCAGAGGGGGAUAGAAUUCCACGUGUAGCAGUGAAAUGCGUAGAGAUGUGGAGGAAUACCGAUGGCGAAGGCAGCCCCCUGGGCCAAUACUGACGCUCAUGCACGAAAGCGUGGGGAGCAAACAGGAUUAGAUACCCGAGUAGUCCC
rnacentral:rRNA from 1 species